rnacentral:rRNA from 1 species
AUUGAACGCUGGCGGCAGGCCUAACACAUGCAAGUCGAGCGGAUGAAGGGAGCUUGCUCUCUGAUUCAGCGGCGGACGGGUGAGUAAUGCCUAGGAAUCUGCCUGACAGUGGGGGACAACGUUUCGAAAGGAACGCUAAUACCGCAUACGUCCUACGGGAGAAAGCAGGGGACCUUCGGGCCUUGCGCUAUCAGAUGAGCCUAGGUCGGAUUAGCUAGUUGGUGAGGUAAUGGCUCACCAAGGCGACGAUCCGUAACUGGUCUGAGAGGAUGAUCAGUCACACUGGAACUGAGACACGGUCCAGACUCCUACGGGAGGCAGCAGUGGGGAAUAUUGGACAAUGGGCGAAAGCCUGAUCCAGCCAUGCCGCGUGUGUGAAGAAGGUCUUCGGAUUGUAAAGCACUUUAAGUUGGGAGGAAGGGCAUUAACCUAAUACGUUAGUGUUUUGACGUUACCGACAGAAUAAGCACCGGCUAACUUCGUGCC